UGAGCAGAGCCUUAGCUAAGGUUCAGAGAAGCAGAGGCCAGACAGCACCAGCCUCCAGACACACCUGUCGGGUAUUACCUGCCUGCUUUGGCCAUACCUUUGUUGAGGCAUUCAAGAGCUUGCAGAAAGAAAACAAGAGAAUGAGCCAGGUGUGUGCUGCUAUUGCUUCUGCAGGACCAGUCAAUUUAACAAACAACUGUUUAUCUCCUAUCAUGUGCAAAGAAUUGUGUUGAAUGCUUGGAAAAUGAAAAAUGACCAAAUGACCUGAUUAAUAAAG